GGCAGGUUGCCCGAGCGGCCAAAGGGAGCUGACUGUAAAUCAGCCGGCACAGCCUUCGUAGGUUCGAAUCCUACACCUGCCACCA
rnacentral:tRNA from 1 species